rnacentral:rRNA from 1 species
UACAGAGGCCUCGAGCGUUAGGCGGAAUCACUGGGCUUAAAGCGUGUGUAGGCGGACUUCUAAGUACCUUGUGAAAUCCCACGGCUUACCCGUGGAACGGCUGGGUAUACUGGGAGUCUUGAGCCACCUAGGGGCGAGUGGAACAAAUGGUGGAGCGGUGAAAUGCGCAGAUAUCAGGAGGAACACCGAUGGCGAAGGCAGUGGGCUGGGCCGGCACUGACGCUGAGGAGCGAAAGCGUGGGGAGCGAACAGG